rnacentral:tRNA from 1 species
UCCCUGGUAGCUCAGAUGGUAAAGCAUCUGCCUACAAUGCGGGAGACCUGGGUUCGAUCCCUGGAUUGGGAA